rnacentral:snoRNA from 1 species
AUCCCAUGACAAAGACAAGCUAAGAUAUAGUCCUGAAGAUGUUCCCAGGCUUCUGUGACUAAUUCGUCAUGAUUCUGCUGGAAACUCGAGAUACAGUUCUAAAGGGC